rnacentral:misc_RNA from 1 species
GAAAUGCGAUAAGUAAUGUGAAUUGCAGAAUUCAGUGAAUCAUCGAAUCUUUGAACGCACCUUGCUCUCCUUGGUAUUCCUUGGAGCAUGCCUGUUUGAGUAUCAUGAAAUCUUCAAAGUAAAUCUUUUGUUAACUCAAUUGGUUUCUACUUUGGUAUUGGAGGUCUUUGCAGCUUCACACCUGCUCCUCUUUGUUCAUUAGCUGGAUCUCAGUGUUAUGCUUGGUUCCACUUGGCGUGAUAAGUUAUCUAUCGCUGAGGACACUGUAAAAGGUGGCCAAGGUAAAUGCAGAUGAACCGCUUCUAAUAGUCCAUUGACUUGGACAAUACUUUUAUGAUCUGAUCUCAAAUCAGGUAGGACUACCCGCUGAACUUAAGC